rnacentral:lncRNA from 1 species
AACACCUGCUUUUCGAUUGGCUGAAAUCUGUGUUCAGGAGAUAGCACAGUCUACUUUGCCGAAUAUAGAUUAUAAGAGUUUAGCUCUUGCGUUUUACUAGAAUCAAUCACUUUCCUUCUUCUAAACAAGUAUUUAAAUACUUCACUGCGUCUGGAUGUGGAAUGCAGGGCAGCAAAGCUCGCGCCAAGGCUAAAACGCACUCUUCCAGGGCUGGUCUCCAGUUUUCUGUGGGCCGAGUGCACCGCCUCCUCCGCAAGGGCAACUACGCCAAGCGGGUCCGGGCCGGUGCGCCGGUGUACCUGGAGGCGGUGCUGGAGUACCUGACCGCCAAGAUCCUGGAGUUGGCGGGCAACGCGGCCCGAGACAAGAAGACCCGCGUCACCCCCCGACGCCUGCAGCUCGCCAUCCACGACGAGAAGCUCAACAAGCUGUUGGGCAAAGUUACUAUCGCGCAGGGCGGUGUCCUGCCCAAUAUUCAGGCCGUGCUGUUGCCCUGUCUAUACAAGUGACUGACUAGGCAAACAGGACUAAUGAGAAAAUGUUUAAUAUCUCAAGUAAGUGCUUUAAUGUAGUCGGGAAGAAGCAAGUUCAGUAACGUUUACAAAACCUUGUAAAGUUUAGAUGGACAGGGCCACUGCAGUGUUCAAGUUAUCCUGCAGAAGAGGCUAGUGGGGGUGGUAU